rnacentral:rRNA from 1 species
AUUGAACGCUGGCGGAAUGCUUUACACAUGCAAGUCGAACGGUAGAGGGGGCAACCCCUCGAGAGUGGCGAACGGGUGAGCAAUGUAUCGGAACGUGCCCAGUCGUGGGGGAUAACGUAGUGAAAAUUGCGCUAAUACCGCAUACGAUCUAUGGAUGAAAGCGGGGGAUCGCAACACCUCGCGCGAUUGGACCGGCCGAUAUCAGAUUAGGUCGUUGGUGGGGUAAAGGCCCACCAAGCAAACGAUCUGUAGCUGGUCUGAGAGGACGACCAGCCACACUGGAACUGAGACACGGUCAAGACUCCUACGGGAGGCAGCAGUGGGGAAUUUUGGACAAUGGGCGAAAGCCUGAUCCAGCCAUUCCGCGUGCAGGAUGAAGGCCCUCGGGUUGUAAACUGCUUUUGUACAGAACGAAAAGGUUUCUACUAAUACUAGGAGCUCAUGACGGUACUGUAAGAAUAAGCACCGGCUAACUACGUGCCAGCCGCCGCAGUAA